GAUUUGUUACUAGAAAUUAAUUUUAGCAAAGGGCUGUUUAUGAAGUUAGGUGAGUUUAAGAAAAGGUCAGGAGACAUUCAGAGCACUGAAGACCUGGGGAAAUUCAGCAGCAGAUGAGGUCUGCUCUCAUGAUUUAAUCAGGUUAAAGGAAGUAUAAAUAGCUGGAAUCAUCUCCUGUAGUCCAGGCCUUUCAUGACCUAAGAGUAAACUGCUGGAUCAGCAGCUCAGCUGACAGAUGUUGAAUCACUGGAGCCAUCACCAGGGACACAACAGGAAUGUGCAGCCAGAGUCGCUGGGAUCACACCUUUUGACAACAACGUCAUCCUGGGUUUUGUUGGAAGAAGGCCACAUUCUUUUUCUGCACUAUCAGAGUCUAAAAUCUGAAAACAUGGGAUGAUGAACUCCAAUCAAAAAGCUGCUGUUUGCGCUAGUGUGGACAUUAGGCACAAGAGCACUGGGAUAUACUUCAUUUUGAUGGUUCUCAUUUGAGUACUCUGCUUAUAAAAUGCUUUAUGAUCACGAAAGGAAAGGUGUUUUACAAGUACAAAUUAUUAUUACUUCCUUUUUCUGGAAUCUAUGGCUGUGUUAGUUCUAAUUUUACAAUCCUCAUGAAAACAAGCUUCCCCUGUUAGUCAGUGAAAUAAUUGCUGACUUAAGGCAGGCAUGGCAGGGCUUGUGCAUUUGAAGCACCCGGUCUUUGCAUAGAUUGCUUCACUUGACAUGAAAUUCUGUGCAGGAGGGUGGAUGACUUUUUCAACAUCUAUUAAAAUUAUUUGAAAUAAAAUACAAUCUCUGGUGUUUAACAAGAUAAAAUCAUAGCCUAAUUAUUGAU